rnacentral:lncRNA from 1 species
AAGGGCAGAGAGGCUAUUUCCAAUCGACCCUCGGCUCAUAGGAUAAAAGGAAAAACAGCAGUAAAACAAAAACAAAGUCAAAAACAAAAACAAUAGAGCAUUAGUAACUCCCGCAGAAAUAGCGUAAAUAAUUAUCUAAACAUCAGAAACAUAAAUACAAUCGCAUGCAAUAAUAUCAUACAGUAACUACCAUAACUAACAACCAUAGGGGGGACAUAAGCUAAUUAGAAAUAUCGUAAAUAAUUAUCUAAACCUAAGAAACAUAAAUACAAGCGCGUGCAAUAAUAUCAUACGGUAACUACCAUAACUAAUAGCCAUAGGGGGGACAUAAGCUAAGCUAAAACACAAAUCAUCUAUGGGUAAUCCUGCUGACCCACACCCAACCCCGGAUGAGGCGUACGAAAAACUCUAGGAGCCCCUAUUCUACAACCCUGAUUCUAGACCUCCAGACAUUCCUAUCAAGGGUCAUGUCCUCGGAAACCUGCAUUCUAGCCAUGUCCUGCCUAAUCACCUCUCCCCAAUACUNN